AACCUCUCAGGGUCACACCUAGAAAGUUUCCAGUACUCCUCCAGUCUCGACUACAGGAGGGAGAGUCAAGCAGAGGUAUAUUCAUUCCAUUCCUAGCUUGGGCAAUGGCUAGCUAGUGGAAGACAAUCUGCUACAAGU
rnacentral:snoRNA from 1 species